rnacentral:pre_miRNA from 1 species
GAUUAGAGGGAGCAUCAUGAUUCUGGUUUAAGUCGUGAUGAGUUUUUCUAUCAGUACAGAUAAUCUGGAAAAACUCGUCAUGACUGAUACCAUGAUCCUAUUGCAUACUCAAAUCCUUUACGUUUUUACAUUUCCCUCCAAACAUC